rnacentral:rRNA from 1 species
GAUGAACGCUGGCGGCGUGCUUAACACAUGCAAGUCGAACGGAAAGGCCCAAGCUUGCUUGGGUACUCGAGUGGCGAACGGGUGGGUAACACGUGGGUGAUCUGCCCUGCACUUCGGGAUAAGCCUGGGAAACUGGGUCUAAUACCGGAUAGGACGAUGGUUUGGAUGCCAUUGUGGAAAGUUUUUUCGGUGUGGGAUGAGCUCGCGGCCUAUCAGCUUGUUGGUGGGGUAAUGGCCUACCAAGGCGUCGACGGGUAGCCGGCCUGUGAGGGUGUACGGCCACAUUGUGACUGAGAUACGGCGCAGACUCCUACGGGAGGCAGCAGUGGGGAAUAUUGCACAAUGGGCGCAAGCCUGAUGCAGCGACGCCGCGUGGGGGAUGACGGCCUUCGGGUUGUAAACUCCUUUCGCUAGGGACGAAGCGUUUUUGUGACGGUACCUGGAGAAGAAGCACCGGCUAACUACGUG